rnacentral:rRNA from 1 species
UACGGGGGGGGCAAGCGUUGUUCGGAAUUACUGGGCGUAAAGGGCUCGUAGGCGGCCAACUAAGUCAGACGUGAAAUCCCUCGGCUUAACCGGGGAACUGCGUCUGAUACUGGAUGGCUUGAGUGUGGGAGAGGGAUGCGGAAUUCCAGGUGUAGCGGUGAAAUGCGUAGAUAUCUGGAGGAACACCGGUGGCGAAGGCGGCAUCCUGGACCAUUACUGACGCUGAUGCACGAAAGCUAGGGGAGCAAACAGG